CCUACGGGUGGCAGCAGUGGGGGAUAUUGCACAAUGGGGGAAACCCUGAUGCAGCGACGCCGCGUGUGGGAAGACGGUCCUCUGGAUUGUAAACCACUGUCCCCAGGGACGAAGUUGACGGUACUUGGGGAGGAAGCUACGGCUAACUACGUGCCAGCAGCCGCGGUAAUACGUAGGGAGCGAGCGUUGUCCGGAUUUACUGGGUGUAAAGGGAGCGUAGGCGGGAAUGAAAGUUGGGUGUCAAAUCUACGGGCUCAACCGGUAGCCGCACUCAAAACUGCAGUUCUUGAGUGAAGUAGAGGCAGGCGGAAUGCCUAGUGUAGCGGUGAAAUGCUUAGAGAUUAGGAGGAACACCAGUGGCGAAGGCGGCCUGCUGGGCUUUUACUGACGCUGAGGCUCGAAAGUGUGGGGAGCAAACAGGAUUAGAUACCCGAGUAGUC
rnacentral:rRNA from 1 species